UGACUAUCAACACCAACUUACAGAAUUCCU
rnacentral:piRNA from 2 species